UAAAGAAGCUUGCUUCUUUGAUGACGAGUGGCGGACGGGUGAGUAAUGCUUGGGAAUCUAGCUUAUGGAGGGGGAUAACUACGGGAAACUGUAGCUAAUACCGCGUAGAAUCGGGAGAUGAAAGUGUGGGACCUUCGGGCCACAUGCCAUAGGAUGAGCCCAAGUGGGAUUAGGUAGUUGGUGAGGUAAAGGCUCACCAAGCCGACGAUCUCUAGCUGGUCUGAGAGGAUGACCAGCCACACUGGGACUGAGACACGGCCCAGACUCCUACGGGAGGCAGCAGUGGGGAAUAUUGCGCAAUGGGGGCAACCCUGACGCAGCCAUGCCGCGUGAAUGAAGAAGGCCUUCGGGUUGUAAAGUUCUUUCGGUAGCGAGGAAGGCAUUUAGUUUAAUAGACUAGGUGAUUGACGUUAACUACAGAAGAAGCACCGGCUAACUCCGUGCCAGCAGCCGCGGUAAUACGGAGGGUGCGAGCGUUAAUCGGAAUAACUGGGCGUAAAGGGCACGCAGGCGGUGACUUAAGUGAGGUGUGAAAGCCCCGGGCUUAACCUGGGAAUUGCAUUUCAUACUGGGUCGCUAGAGUACUUUAGGGAGGGGUAGAAUUCCACGUGUAGCGGUGAAAUGCGUAGAGAUGUGGAGGAAUACC
rnacentral:rRNA from 1 species